rnacentral:rRNA from 1 species
UACGGAGGGGGCAAACGUUGUUCGGAAUCACUGGGCGUAAAGGGUACGUAGGCGGUUCGGCAAGUCUGGCGUGAAAUCCCGUGGCUUAACCACGGAACUGCGUUGGAAACUACCGAGCUCGAGGAUGGGAGAGGCUGGUGGAAUUCCUGGUGUAGCGGUGGAAUGCGUAGAUAUCAGGAAGAACACUCGUGGCGAAGGCGGCCAGCUGGCCCAUUUCUGACGCUGAGGUACGAAAGCUAGGGGAGCAAACGGG